CCUACGGGAGGCAGCAGUGGGGAAUAUUGCACAAUGGGGGAAACCCUGAUGCAGCGACGCCGCGUGAGUGAAGAAGGAUUUCGGUAUGUAAAGCUCUAUCAGAAGGGAAGAAGAAAGACGGUACCUGACUAAGAAGCCCCGGCUAACUACGUGCCAGCAGCCGCGGUAAUACGUAGGGGGCAAGCGUUAUCCGGAUUUACUGGGUGGAAAGGGAGCGUAGACGGCUGUGCAAGUCUGAAGUGAAAGCCCAGGGCUUAACCCUGGGACUGCUUUGGAAACUGUGGAGCUAGAGUGCGGGAGAGGUAAGUGGAAUUCCUAGGGGAGCGGUGAAAUGCGUAGAUAUUAGGAGGAACACCAGUGGCGAAGGCAGCUUACUGGACAGUAACUGACGUUGAGGCUCGAAAGCGUGGGGAGCAAACAGGAUUAGAUACCCGAGUAGUC
rnacentral:rRNA from 1 species